rnacentral:rRNA from 1 species
AUUGAACGCUGGCGGCAGGCCUAACACAUGCAAGUCGAACGAGUGGCGGACGGGUGAGUAAUGUCUGGGAAACUGCCCGAUGGAGGGGGAUAACUACUGGAAACGGUAGCUAAUACCGCAUCCCAUCGGAUGGGCCCAGAUGGGAUUAGCUAGUAGGUGGGGUAACGGCUCACCUAGGCGCCGAUCCCUAGCUGGUCUGAGAGGAUGACCAGACACACUGGAACUGAGACACUGUCCAGACGCCUACGGUAGGCAGCAGUGGGGAAUAUUGCACAAUGGGCGCAAGCCUGAUUCCGCCAUGCCGCGUGGAUGAAGAAGGCCUUCGGGUUGUAAAGUACUUUCAGCGAGGAGGCGUUACUCGCAGAAGAAGCACCGGCUAAAUACGUGCCAGCAGCCGCGGUAAUAC